AACUUCCUAUUUCUAGGUAAUUAUAUAAUUUCUCAUCAUUAUAUAGUUGAAACUAUGGAUUUUUCGAGAGACUUUCAUUAUUUUCAUCCAGCUUCCAAAUUCACCCUUUAAUUUCACAUGAAGAUAGUUAGAUAUUGAAUUAUUUCAAGAAUAAAAAGACUGAUACCAAGUAUACUCAUUACAUUUAAAACCUAUAGUAUGAAAAUAAUGGAUUCCAAAACAUUGAUAUUACAAUACCAUACCUAAUGUAUCAUGAUUCAUUAUAAGGGUCUUUUUUCAGCUCCUUUUGAAAAAAAGGAGUUAAUUCUUGUACAUUUUUAGCUCACACUACCUUUCGUGAGCUUUUCUCAUCACUUGGCGUCUGUCGUCCUCGUCUGUUAACUUUUACAAAAAUCUUCUCCUCUGAAACUACUAGGCCAAAUUUAACCAAACUUGACCACAAUCAUCAUUGGGGUAUCUAGUUUAAAAAAUGUGUCCGAUGACGCAGCCUGCCAAACAAAAUGGCCGACAUGGCUAAAAAUAGAACAUAGAGGUAAAAUGCAGUUUUU
rnacentral:lncRNA from 1 species